rnacentral:rRNA from 1 species
AGGGAAUCUUCCACAAUGGACGCAAGUCUGAUGGAGCAACGCCGCGUGAGUGAAGAAGGCUUUCGGGUCGUAAAACUCUGUUAUUGAAGAAGAACGUGUGUGACAGUAACUGGUCAUGCAGUGACGGUAUUCAAUCAGAAAGUCACGGCUAACUACGUGCCAGCAGCCGCGGUAAUACGUAGGUGGCAAGCGUUGUCCGGAUUUAUUGGGCGUAAAGCGAGUGCAGGCGGUCUUUUAAGUCUGAUGUGAAAGCCUUCGGCUUAACCGAAGAAGGGCAUCGGAAACUGGGAGACUUGAGUGCAGAAGAGGAGAGUGGAACUCCAUGUGUAGCGGUGAAAUGCGUAGAUAUAUGGAAGAACACCAGUGGCGAAGGCGGCUCUCUGGUCUGUAACUGACGCUGAGGCUCGAAAGCGUGGGUAGCAAACAGGAUUAGAUACCCUGGUAGUCCACGCCGUAACGAUGAAUACUAAGUGUU